AAUCAACGCUGGCGGCGUGCCUAACACAUGCAAGUCGAACGCGAAGACCCCGCAAGGGGUUUGUAGCGUGGCAAACGGGUGAGUAACGCGUGGGUGACCUGCCUUCGAGUGGGGGAUAACGUCUCGAAAGGGACGCUAAUACCGCAUGACAUCUUCUCUUUGAACAGAGGGUGAUCAAAGUCUGGACCGCAAGGCCAGAUGCUCGGAGAGGGGCCCGCGUCCGAUUAGCAGUUGGUGAGGUAACGGCUCACCAAGGCGACGAUCGGUAUCCGGCCUAAGAGGGCGGACGGACACACUGGGACUGAGACACGGCCCAGACUCCUACGGGAGGCAGCAGUGGGAAUUGUUCGCAAUGGGCGAAAGCCUGACGACGCAACGCCGCGUGGAGGACGAAGAUCUUCGGGUCGUAAACUCCUGUCGAGCGGGACGAAUA
rnacentral:rRNA from 1 species